rnacentral:lncRNA from 1 species
AGACCUAAACUUACAUAUGAAUAAACAAAAUACACGCCUUCCCUGUAUUGCCCUCGUAUCUCAUAUGAACGCAACUCACCUUCAUCAGAUCCUCUCAUGUCUCCUCCCACCUCCGACCAACUCCAACGCCAACCACCUCCUCCCAUCACCGAACACCUCAUCCCAUCGCCGGCCACCUAUUCCCAUCGUUGAUUCACACAGCACCGCCGCCCCAUCGUAAACAUCGCACACCUACAAGUUUCACACGACUUCUAAUAUCACUUCCACCUCCAUGAAAUCGACUCCCAUCUCCAAACUACGACCUACGACGCCAAGCUCCGACAUCGUUGGUUUUACCCUCGAAAGCGCCGCCCUCUCCAGGUUCCGCCCUCGACAACGUCGGUCUCUACCAGGCGAUCUCCAAUCUCCUUCGUUGGUCAGGUACAAAGUUGCUAAAAUCACUCCAAAUUCGAGAAAUCGAGUUGUUUUCAUGAUGUGAAAUCGAAAAUCGAUUUAAUAUACCGAGUUUUUAAAUGUUCAUAUUUUAGGUUUUCUGUGAUGUUUUGAAUCAGUGGUGAAACAUAGUAUCAUUCAAAAUUAGUUAUUGAUUUAUAGUUUUCUGGUAUAAUAAUGAUUAUUAUUAUCAUAAACUAUGUAUUGUUUCCAAAUUUGUUAUUGAUUUAGAGCAUUGUGUAUUUUUGAUGGUCAAGAUGAUGAUGGAUGAAGGCUGUGAUGUUUUUUGGUCAAAAUUGUUCCUCUUCUAUUUCUCAUUUGAGCAAUUGGAACUUUAGGCAUUGAUGUUUGACUUUGAACAAUUAGAACUUUGGAUGAAACUAAUGUUGAAUGUUCCAUUUCUGUCUUUUUUCUAGAAAAGAUAUAUAAGAUUGUAUUUGUAUGAAACUAAUGUUGAAUGUUCCAUGCUUAUGCAAUGGGAUAUUGUUGGACAAGAAAGGUUCAGGAUAAUCACCGGUAGCUAACCAUAUAUCAUUGAUUUGGAGCACAAAGAAUGAAUGGAAUGGUUUUAAUUUUCUGAUUUAUUCAAAGUUUUUCUUUGUAUUUUCUUAGAUAAAGGUAUUAUACUUGUCAAGAUGUGUAAAUGAAUGUGGUUGUAUACAUGUAAUGUGAUCCAUAUAAGCAUAGAGCUCAAGGUGUUUUAAUAGCUAUUGUAAGAUUGUUUUUGUACGGUUUAAAUACAAGAAAUAGCAAUGUAAUUUUAUUUAUUUAUUUAUUAUAGCAUCAUACUUUUACCUCUUUAUAUUAGAACAUUGUUUGAUUUGAUUUUUGUCAAAUAUAUAUGUUUGAUUUGAUUUUUUUUAUUUGGAUUUUUGUAUUGUGUUUAUACUUUUGUUAUAAUUAUUCAAGAAGUUGGUUUGGUUAUUUUAUAGACAUAAGCAUUGAAUUCAACAAAAAACAUAACACUGAAGGGUAAAAUCAUCAUUUUAUAAUUCAGUCCAGCAAUUCAGAAGUUCCAACCAAACAGCAUGUUAAAAAUUCAAAUCUUAAAGUUUCAGACCCUCUUAGAAAUUCAGACCUUUUAAAAAUUCAGAUCCUGGCAAACAGACCCGAAGGUCUCACAAGUAGUUGCUAUGGUACGUAAUUUUGUCAAUUUCAGCACAAACAAAAGAAAAAAAAUGAAAAACAAAGUGACCAUAAAAUAGGUCAAGAAAAUAAUGAAAAAUGAAAAGAAAAUAAAACCAAUUAAAACGAGAAAAGGGGAGGGAAAAGGAGAAAUAAAACCAAAACAAAACAAAACCAACCUGAAAGAAGUAAAAGACAUACUCACAUCAUAGAAGCUACUAGUUAGCUUCAUAAAUAAGAUCUAGGGCAUAAAAAAGCUACAUUUAGGGCUUUGAAAUAACUAACAAGCUCUUCCUAUUCAUAAAUACUAGCAUCUUUGAACACCAUGUGAUAAGGCUCUACAAACAUUAAUAAAUCCUUUAAACCCAAAUAGUUGAAAAAUGCUACAAAACAAUUGAGUUAUGAACAGCAACAUGAU